rnacentral:rRNA from 1 species
UACGUAGGCAGCGAGCGUUGUUCGGAGUUACUGGGCGUAAAGCGUGCGCAGGCGGUUCGGAAAGAGAGGUGUGAAAUCCCAGGGCUUAACCUUGGAACUGCACUUUUAACUACCGGGCUAGAGUACGUCAGAGGGGGGUAGAAUUCCACGUGUAGCAGUGAAAUGCGUAGAGAUGUGGAGGAAUACCGAUGGCGAAGGCAGCCCCCUGGGAUGAUACUGACGCUCAUGCACGAAAGCGUGGGGAGCAAACAGG